GCUGAUGCUAACAGCCAGGGCCAGUCCCUCCAGCUGGUCCCGUGUAAUGAGGCCAGGGCUCCUUAUCAGCUUCCAGGCGGCUGGGAUCUCAGGCAGGGUGUGCGUCAGCCCUCCAACCCCCGGAGGGGCGCCUGCUGGGGAGAGGACCAGGAGGCCACACCUGGGGGAGCGUGCAGCCAGCAUGCGCAGUGGUCAGCUCCAGGCCAGUGGAAAGUUACUGCGAGGAGAUGGGAAAGCUCUGGGAGGAUAGCAGGACCCUCCUUUGGCUUCGCUCUCUGGGGUCCUCUUCUCUCUCUCCAGGGCUGGGAGCUCCAUCUGCCCCGGGAAGGGUGACGAGGUGUACUAACUGUUCCUUCCCAACCCCAUCCCUCCCUGCCCUUCCUACUCGCUUUUAAGAAGCACUGCAGAAGUAUUCGAAGGUUUGUUCCAUCUUGGGGAUUCGAAGAGAAAAGGAGCCAAGAACUGGCAGGUGGUGUGUGUGCGGCAAAAGCACUGGGGGCAUGGGUGGGAUGCCCACUGUGUGCUGGUCUAAACGAACCCAUCGCAGUGACCCCCCAGAGGCAGCACUCCACUCAUGUGGGUCGCAGAGGGAAAAGUCGAGGGGCUCAGAAAGGCUCGGUAAUGUGUCCCAGGUCAUACGGCUAGCUAGUGGCGGGCCUGGGGUUCAGACCCACAGCUGCCUCACGCAAACAGGGUAUGACACUUGCCUCUGUGCCUGGGCGGGGGCCGGAAUGAGACCACAUGGGAGCCCAGAGAGGGAGGUGGUCAGGCCCUGUUGUCCUUGGGGAUUUCUUGUCCUCCGCGCCACCCCGGCCUCCUAUCUCUCCCAAAACCUCUCGCCAGGUUUUGCACACUGAGGUUUCUACCAUCCAGACAUGAGCUGGGAGGCAAGAUUUCUGGUUUCUGGUUCCUAGCCCCACUGCCAGCGGGCUCCUGGUAUUACAUGAGGGUUUCUUGCUGUCUGGGAUUCAGUUUUUCCAUCUGCCACAUGGAAGUUCAUAGCCAGGAUGGGGCUCGAGAGGCACCAGAACACCUCUCCACGGACUUCCUCUCCCGGCUCCCACUCCUCCACCUCCUCUCCUCCCAGCCCCUCGGUUUCCUCUCAUCACUGGCCUCAGUUCCAGAGGAGUCAGCCCCAGCACCUCACUGUCCUGCCACUGUCAGAUGGCCUUGGUCAUGCUUCCUAGAAUCUACUGGUCCAAGUUCUCCUUUCCCUGGGAUAAGUUAUGCAGAAACUGGGGAUUUAGAAACUUAUUCAGGGCUGAGUGCCAAAGGCCCGGGGGAGAAGGAGCAGGCCCUCGGCCAUAAACAGUGAACCGCACACGUCACAGCCAUUUGAGAAAUGGCUUAUUUGCGAGCUGGGGAGGCUGGGCAGAAGAUGCCGAAGGCUCCUACUCCUGGUGCCUGAGCAGAGGGGUCCCAGGUAUCACAGUGUCGGCAGCAGAGUCCAGGCCAAAGUCUACGCGUUCCAUCUCCAGGCAGUGGGGAGCCCGGAAACACCAGGAGAGGUGUCGGAAGGAGGAAGGGUGGGGAACAGGAAUGCAGGAUUACAGGAAACCGCAGCUGAGCAGAUGUCACAGCUGUAGAGGAGGAAGGGAACCUGCGGGCCCCUCACAUUUUUGGCCUGGGUGGGGCUGGGCCUGGGAAGGGGUGGGCUAGGUUUUGUAAAGCUGGAGGCAGCCAGGAAUCUGAUCAUCUGCAAUGUGACGUGAGGGGUCUCCCACUGAAGUCCUCUCCUAGAAGUGGCAGAUGGGGGCUAGGGAGGCACGCGCGAGUCUGGAACUCAUUCCCGGGGAACACCUAUGGCUACUUCUGUAUCACCUGGGGAAGCCCCAGAAUCUUAGUUCUUCCAUUCUCUACUCUUUCUUCCGAAGGAGUCAGGAUAGGACAGACACCUGUUUUCCAAAAGGCUGGUACCUCCCUCCCUGGCCCACCUGAGGCAAAGUCCCAGGUGUCCUAGCUGCUCUCCUGGAUGGGUUGGGAUUUUGAACAAGCACUUUUCUGCCCUCUGGUGGCUGCUUGAGGAAACGCGGAGCCUGGGUGGGAGCAUCACCAAGGGCCCAUGUGACUGGAGGCUGGGGCAGGAUCGGGCCACCAGCUCUUCUCAGACAGCCCUAGACUCAUCUUCUCAUCAGCCACCACUGAGCCCUUUUGCUGAAUGAUGGUUGCAUCUCUCAGACACAGUGUACCUCCACCUGAGCCCUCCUGAGUGCCUGAGGGCAGACACAGCUCCAGGGACCUGGCCCUGCUGCCAUACCCCAGACACUCCUGCUGUCCACUGGCCUCAGCUCCUGCAAGCAACCCCCUGUCUGCGCCUUUUCCCUUCCCUGGCCUUGCCUUCCUGGGGUCUGUGACUGACUGGAGAUAAAAAUAAAAGCAAUUCUGACACUGGA